UGAACAUUUCUUUAUUCUGCUUUAUAGAAACUGGCCAAAUUUGAAGCAGAUAGUGACUACUCUGUGGAGAGACAGCUGAAGGGAAUGAUGUGGAAUAACGCUUUCCUGAGGCACACACUGGAUUAGGACCUUGGAAAGAGCUACUCUCUAACCUAAGGAGCAUUUCUCUGCAUUUUUUUUCUCUUUCGCACACGGUAGGCCUGAAGUCUACUUGAGAAGAACAGAUAUAAACCCAGCAUCUGGGUCAGACGCAAAGUUUCCCAACCUUGAUCUCAAAGGAGAAUUUCUGGACUCCGUGUUGCAAUAAAUAUGCAUAGAGUGGGUGCUGUGCAAAAACUUUGCCAUGGAUUAGCCCAUCUGCCCCCACCAUAGCCACAUCCUUCAGGAUAGACUCAUCUCACCGUUGUCCCUGUUCUGUAAUCUCCCUGGGAGCAAGGAAGGGAAAAAUAGAACACCACUAACAAUGGGUGAUUAAUGGUGGGAAUAAACCUAAAUCAAGACAAAAAAGCCAUGCAUAGGAUUUCACCAAAUGGUACUAGUCUGCUGCACUGCAGUGGAAUAUCAAACUCCCCAAUAUAGUAAACAACAUCUUCUCGAGGACAUACAAGCCACCAGAUAGAGAAACGCCCAUUACAGAGCUGUGGAGUCCUUAUGCUGUAGUGCUAUGCUGCCACAAAGUAGACACAAAGGAGUACUCGUUGAAUGAUAAAAGGUAUCAAUGAAUGAACAAAUGAACUAAUGAGCUGAUG
rnacentral:lncRNA from 1 species